rnacentral:tRNA from 1 species
GGGCCCUUAGCUCAGUUGGCUAGAGCGCCUCGCUUGCACCGAGGAGGUCAGGAGUUCGACUCUCCUAGGGUCCACCA